rnacentral:lncRNA from 1 species
CUAGCCUAGGAAGGCAGAAGCAGUGGGAGCUGAAGCUCAAGGGCAGCCUCAGCUAAAAGCAGAUUUGAGAACAGCACGAAACAACACAAACCUAUGGCUUUCCCCAUCAGCUCCCAUUAUCUUUCCCAGCUCUUCUGAGAGUAACACUUGCAGGGCGUUGCUGGCGCACACUUUUGAUCCCAGCACUCGGGAGGCAGAGGCAGGCGGAUUUCUGAGUUUGAGGCCAGCCUGGUCUACAGAGUGAGUUCCAGGGCAGCCAGGGCUACACAGAGAGACCCCCAUCUCUGAAAAAAACAAAAAGAAAACUAACCAAACCAAAAAAAAAAAAAAAAAAAGUAACGCUUAACCCUGCAGGACGGUGCCCAUGCUUCUUUGAGUCCUGAUGUCAAGGCCCACCCUACCUUUCCAUCCAGAUGCCUGAUGAUAUCAGUUCUACUUCCAGGGUUCAUUUAAAAUACAGACUGGAAUCCUUGCUCCAAAAUUAAAGUCCUGUGACCAGCCCACUCAUUGAUUUGUAGGAGACUUCAUGUACUCAUCUAUAAAAGCUGCAAAGGCAGGAAUCCUAUCACACGCCACGUUCCUUCCUAUGGUACUAGACAGUUGAUGUUCUCAAGUUUCUGAAACAAGUGAAGUCAACUCUGCUAGCACUGGCUCGUCGUGGACUAAGAAAUGGAGAAGGACCCAUGGCCAAGCAACAUGGUGCUUGCUUAAAAUUCCAGCACUUGGAAUAUGAAGGCAGGAGGCUAAGGAAUUCAAGGUCAUUCUUCUAUACACUGUGAGUCUGAGGCUGCCCUACAUUAAUUAAAAAAAAAAAACAGAGCAAAGAAACCAAAGCAAGCAAACCCAUACCAAACAAACAAGGACCACCACAAAAAUGUCCACUCUGAACUCUGGAAGCUGAAAUGACUCCCUGUGACACCCAGCCCAAUUAUUUACUUAUCCUCUCAAUGUGCUUCCAGGGUCUGCUUUGGUCUUUCUACUCCUCAAAAUUCCCAGGACAACCUCCAACCUCCUGUGUUCUGGCUGUAAGUUUCUUGAAAAAUACUCACUAGUGUCUCUAAGGCUGCAUCUAUGAAGCAAUCCCACUGAGAACACUCACGUGGCUGUCUCACAGGCAUCUCAAACUAACUACACUUCCAGAAAUAUGAACUAGCAUCUGAUGGGGAGUGCAGACCUAUUACUGCUGCCCAUGCAUGACAAACAAGUGCAAAGCACUCUUGGCCCUAUUCUAAGAAAAAGAGGAAGUGAAAGCUUCAUGUGGCCUGUGUUGUUACUUCUCUAUGGAAAGCCACAGGCCUCAAAACCAACCAGACAUCUGCCUCGCAGGGCGGCUUUACCUUGUGGUUUACCAGAAACGCAGAGCGGCCUCUGAAAUAAUCGAAACAAAGCCAAGCCCUCAGCACACAGGAGCUGGAUGACAUCAGUAUGUGAGCCUAGCUUCUAAGGCAGGCAACUCCAUCCCUCUGUGAACCCCUGUCUCCACAUGAAAACCUUCAUGUUUUCGAUAGUAAUUUAAUAGUUAACAUGCUGACUUGUUUACAGAGAGGAAUGCUAAGCCACUAAGAUCAUGGUCUGUUUCUUAUGUCUUCCAGCAACUGAACAUGAACUCAACACUUCCAAGGCCUUGUAUAUUAUUUCUCUGGUCCUGAAGGUGUAAUGUCAGAAUGCCAGGCUGCCAAGGGUGACAGAGAAAGAAUAGGUGUAUAUUUAAACUGUGGUAACUGGCUGGGUCAUACUGCCAGGGCUAAGUAGCCCUGCUUAAUGCUCCAGGGCCAGCCAUCACCUGCACACAUGGCUGCUGAGACUGACACUUGUUUCUUUAGUACUCUGCACCUUGGAAGCAAGGCCUCAUUGUUUUCUAUGCAUGCAUCCUCACAGCCAGGUGAGACCCAAACACAAAUCUGUACUUAGCCAUGGUAACUCGGUUUAUGAGUGAGUGAGUUACAGGCUUGUUCCUAGUGGGGAAAACUUUACUUCUGGCUUUAGAAAUAUGACCAGGACACCGGGCGUGGUGGCACACGCCUUUAAUCCCAGCAGGCGGCAGAGGCAGGCGGAUUUCUGAGUUCGAGGCCAGCCUGGUCUACAAAGUGAGCUCCAGGACAGCCAGGGCUAUACAGAGAAACCCUGUCUUGGGAAAAAAAAAAAAAAAAAAUGACCAGGGGCUGGAGAGAGGACUCAGCAGUUAAGAACAGUUGUUGCUGGGGGGUGGGGGUGGGGUGGAUGGGGAUCUGGGUUUGAUUCCCAGCACUCACAUGGUGGUGGCUCACAGCCAGGUGUAACUGCAGGUCAAGGAGAACUGACCUCCUCUUCUGACCUCCAAGGGCAUCAGGCACCACAUGGUGGAAUAUAUAUAUACACACACACCAUAUCUAUAUCCAAACCCCCGCAUUCACAUGAAAUAAACGAAUUAUUGCCAAUAUCCAGUACCGUAUUCUUCCCCAAACUCUUCCCCUGUUGCCCUCACCCAGAGAAUAUAUUUAGUCAUGAAGUUAAAAACUCACUGAAUGGGAAAACUCUGGCCAUCAGUAAAAUGCUUCUGGGCAUCCUACAGUCAGGACUUAAUGUAAAACUCCUUAAAAUUGACGUUUUGCUAGGACACUCAAGGUUACACAGAGAAACCCUGUCUUGAAAAACAAAACAAACAAAAACCCAAUAACAUAAAAGGGCAUUUUUGAGGACUGGCAAUGUGGCUUAGCAUGGAAAGGGGCUUGCAUCUAAACCUGACAACCGGACUUCCAUCCCUAGGACCUGCAAAUUGUCCUCGGACCUCUAAAUGAGACUUAUGGCAUGCAAAGUCCCAACACAAACAUUGUGACACACAGAAAUAAACAAUAUUUAAGAAAAAAAAUUUUAAUAAAGACAGAUGUUUGAGUUUCAUAAAAAGAAUUGUCAAAUUCUGGCUUGGGAUUAGAACAGAAUUUCAGCCAUUUCCGAAAAGGCCCUAAUCAUACUCCAGCCAUUUUGUACAUAACAUAACUACAUAUUAUGUGAAGCUGUGAUCUCAACAUUGAUGUUAUACAAUCAUUAUACAAUCAUGUUAUUGAAUAACUCUAAACAACCCCCAAAAUGUUUAACAUCCUGCAUUAUUAAAUACUCACCCUGGACUCCUUUUAUGUCAACAAGCACGCCCACAUUACUAGUUUGCAAAUAUGCUCUUGUUGAUUUGUUAUCAGG